GCCGCCUUAGCUCAGUUGGCAGAGCAGGGCUUUCGUAAAGCCAAGAUCCUCGGUUCGAUCCCGAGAGGCGGCU
rnacentral:tRNA from 1 species